UACGUAGGGGGCGAGCGUUAUCCAGAUUUACUGGGCGUAAAGCGCGUGUAGGCGGCUGGUUAGGUGUGAUGUGAAAUCCUCGGGCUCAACCCGAGAACUGCAUUGCAAACCGGCCUGGCUAGAGUGCAGGAGAGGGAAGCGGAAUUUCCGGUGUAGCGGUGAAAUGCGUAGAUAUCGGAAGGAACAUCAGUGGCGAAAGCGGCUUCCUGGACCAGCACCGACG
rnacentral:rRNA from 1 species